AAAGAAUUAGUUAAAUAAAUAACCUAAAUAUGUCAUAUUUAAAUUAUUAGAAAUCUAAUAUUCUUUU
rnacentral:tRNA from 1 species